UUAUCAAUUUUUUUAAUUAUGUUUAUUUUCUCGAAGUUUUAAGAUUUAUAUUUAUAAGGAGUUUAAUGUUACAAUAUUUUCUCUAAUAUAAAUAUGGAAGAGAUAUUCUUUUAAAUUAAAAAUAUCUAGUUUUCUGAGAUAUGGAUUUAAUUCAUAAAUAAGAAUUUUUUUAAUUAUAUUUUUUUUAUUUAUAUUUAAAAGGGGAUAAGCUCUUUUAAGAUCUAAAAAUGGUUUUUAAGAUAUUUUUUGUAGGUCUAGUAAUGUCCAUCAUUUAUUUUGUAAAAAUUAUUUUUAUUUUGAUUUUUAUUUUUUCUUUUUUAGUUUUUUAUCAGAAAUAUAAAUAUAAUUUAUAUAUUUAUGUUAAAAUGAUAAAAUUAGUAUUUUAUAAAAUUAAUUUAUAGUAAUUCGGCAAAAAUAAUUUUCACCUGUUUAACAAAAACAUGGUCUUUUGUUUAUUUAAAAGAUCUGGCCUGCCCAAUGAAUAUUUUAAUGGCUGCAGUAUAUUGACUGUACAAAGGUAGCAUAAUCAUUUGUCUUUUAAUUGAAGUCUGGAAUGAAUGGUUGGAUGAAAAAUUUACUUUCUUUAUUUUAUAUAUAUAACUUGAUUUUUAAGUCAAAAAGCUUAAAUAAUAAUAAGGGACGAGAAGACCCUAUAGAACUUUAUCAUUUUUUAAGUUAUUAUUUUUAGUUUAUGAUUAAUUUAACUUGAAAAAUGAUUUUAUUGGGGUGAUAAAAAAAAAUUUAUAACUUUUUUUAUAAUUUUCAUUUAUAUAUGAUUUUUUGAUCCUUUAAUAUGGAAAAAAAGAUUAAGUUACCUUAGGGAUAACAGCGUUAUCAUCUUAGAGAGUUCAUAUUGAUAAGAUGGUUUGCGACCUCGAUGUUGGAUUAAAUUAAGUUUCAGGAGUAUAAGAUUGAACACUGGGUCUGUUCGACCUUUAAAAUUUUACAUGAUCUGAGUUCAGACCGGCGUGAGCCAGGUCGGUUUCUAUCUUUAUUUUUUUACAAUGACUUAGUACGAAAGGACCAGUUUUUGGAAAUAUUUUUUCUCAAUU
rnacentral:rRNA from 1 species